rnacentral:rRNA from 1 species
UACGGGAGGCAGCAGUGGGGAAUAUUGCACAAUGGGCGCAAGCCUGAUGCAGCCAUGCCGCGUGUAUGAAGAAGGCCUUCGGGUUGUAAAGUACUUUCAGUCGUGAGGAAGGUGUUAAGGUUAAUAACCUUAGCAAUUGACGUUAGCGACAGAAGAAGCACCGGCUAACUCCGUGCCAGCAGCCGCGGUAAUCGGAGGGUGCGAGCGUUAAUCGGAAUUACUGGGCGUAAAGGGCACGCAGGCGGUUAAUUAAGUUGGAUGUGAAAUCCCCGGGCUUAACCUGGGAAUGGCAUUCAAGACUGGUUAGCUAGAGUUUUUGUAGAGGGGGUAGAAUUCCAUGUGUAGCGGUGAAAUGCGUAGAGAUGUGGAGGAAUACCGGUGGCGAAGGCGGCCCCUGGACAAAGACUGACGCUCAUGUGCGAAAGCGUGGGGAGCGAAACAGGGAUUAGAUACCCGU